GUGCUCGCUUGGCAGCACAUAUACUAAAAUUGGAAUGAUAUGGAGAGGAUUAGCAUGGCCCCUGCACAAGGAUGAAACGCAAAUUUGUGAAGGGUUCCGUAUUUAA